CAGUCGCCGCGGUAAAACGAAGGGGGCUAGCGUUGCUCGGAAUGACUGGGCGUAAAGCGCGCGUAGGUGGCCAUCUAAGUCCGCUGUGAAAGUCAAAGGCUCAACCUUUGAAAGCCGGUGGAUACUGGAUGGCUAGAGUACGGAAGAGGCGAGUGGAAUUCCUGGUGUAGCGGUGGAAUGCGCAGAUAUCAGGAGGAACACCAAUAGCGAAGGCAGCUCGCUGGGACGUUACUGACACUGAGGCGCGAAAGCGUGGGGAGCGAACAGGAUUAGAUACCCCCGUAGUCCCUGUCUCUUAUAC
rnacentral:rRNA from 1 species